rnacentral:rRNA from 1 species
UGAGGAAUAUUGGUCAAUGGGUGCAAGCCUGAACCAGCCAUCCCGCGUGAAGGACGACUGCCCUAAGGGUUGUAAACUUCUUUUGUAUAGGGAUAAACCUUUCCACGUGUGGAAAGCUGAAGGUACUAUACGAAUAAGCACCGGCUAACUCCGUGCCAGCAGCCGCGGUAAUACGGAGGGUGCAAGCGUUAUCCGGAUUUAUUGGGUUUAAAGGGUCCGUAGGCGGACUUAUAAGUCAGUGGUGAAAGCCUGUCGCUUAACGAUAGAACUGCCAUUGAUACUGUAAGUCUUGAGUAUAAUUGAGGUAGCUGGAAUAAGUAGUGUAGCGGUGAAAUGCAUAGAUAUUACUUAGAACACCAAUUGCGAAGGCAGGUUACCAAGAUAUAACUGACGCUGAGGGACGAAAGCGUGGGGAGCGAACA